rnacentral:rRNA from 1 species
UCGGGAAUUUUGGGCAAUGGGCGAAAGCCUGACCCAGCAACGCCGCGUGAGGGAUGAAGUAUUUCGGUAUGUAAACCUCGAAAGAAUGGGAAGAAUAAAUGACGGUACCAUUUAUAAGCUCCGGCUAACUACGUGCCAGCAGCCGCGGUAAUACGUAGGGAGCAAGCGUUGUUCGGAUUUACUGGGCGUAAAGGGCGCGUAGGCGGCGCGGUAAGUCACUUGUGAAAUCUCUGAGCUUAACUCAGAACGGCCAAGUGAUACUGCUGUGCUAGAGUGCAGAAGAGGCAACCGGAAUUCUUGGUGUAGCGGUGAAAUGCGUAGAUAUCAAGAGGAACACCUGAGGCGAAGGCGGGUUGCUGGGCCGACACUGACGCUGAUGCGCGAAAGCCAGGGGAGCAAACG